rfam:Candidatus Curtissbacteria bacterium RIFCSPLOWO2_01_FTLL_42_50 rifcsplowo2_01_scaffold_29366, whole genome shotgun sequence.
GGAGGGUGGGCCGGACGGCAAGGCACAAGUUUGCUAAACUUGCUGGGCGAAAGUCCAGAGUGGGUUCGACUCCCACACCCUCCG